rnacentral:rRNA from 1 species
GACGAACGCUGGCGGCGUGCUUAACACAUGCAAGUCGAGCGAUGAAGUUCCUUCGGGAAUGGAUUAGCGGCGGACGGGUGAGUAACACGUGGGUAACCCGCCUCAUAGAGGGGAAUAGCCUUUCGAAAGGAAGAUUAAUACCGCAUAAGAUUGUAGUUUCGCAUGAAACAGCAAUUAAAGGAGUAAUCCGCUAUGAGAUGGACCCGCGUCGCAUUAGCUAGUUGGUGAGGUAACGGCUCACCAAGGCGACGAUGCGUAGCCGACCUGAGAGGGUGAUCGGCCACAUUGGGACUGAGACACGGCCCAGACUCCUACGGGAGGCAGCAGUGGGGAAUAUUGCACAAUGGGGGAAACCCUAAUGCAGCAACGCCGCGUGAGUGAUGACGGUCUUCGGAUUGUAAAGCUCUGUCUUCAGGGACGAUAAUGACGGUACCUGAGGAGGAAGCCACGGCUAACUACGUGCCAGCCGCCGCCGUAA